rnacentral:rRNA from 1 species
UACGUAGGCAGCGAGCGUUGUUCGGAAUUACUGGGCGUAAAGAGUGUGUAGGCGGUGCUCUAAGUUCGGUGUGAAAUCUCCUGGCUUAACUGGGAGGGUGCGCCGGAAACUGGAGUGCUUGAACGUGGGAGAGGAAAGCGGAAUCCUGGUGUAGCGGUGGAAAUGCGCAGAUAUCAGGGAGGAACACCGGUGGCGAAGGCGGGUCUCUGGGCAACAACUGACGCUGAGGAGCGAAAGCGUGGGGAGCGAACAGG